rnacentral:lncRNA from 1 species
CCUACUCUCUCUUUGUGCACAGUCAAAUUCCACCGCCUCGCUUUUAGGUGGUAGAAGUACAAAGGCUUAUUAGGUUAGGACUUUCUGGGGUUUUGCGGAGAGAGAAAAGAGAGGAAGGCAGAAUGAUGGUAUAGCUUUGUGAUAAUUAUCUCCAUGUGGAAGAAGCAAUAUUAGCCAUCAAAUCCAGUUCUCUUGAAACUGUAUAGAAAUCUCUUCUUCACUCCCUUCAAAGCCAAAAAAAAAAAAAAAAAAAAAAAAACAAUAACCAGCUCGCUGCACAGCGGUUUUAAUCAUCAUGUCUUCUCCUCUCUUCCUCUCAUCAUUAGCCCCUCACACUCCUCAUCAUCGCCAUCACCACUGCUACUCCUACUCCUUCUUAAGCCACCCGCCAACCCCACCAAAACCACCCUCCACCUCGAAGAUCAAACCGAGAAGAAAGCGAAAGAAGACUAAAGAGCAAGCUAGGCCGUUAGAUUUAGACUAGAGAAGAUGGGUUCACUCAAGAAGAAGAAACCCUACCUACCAUCCGUUUCCAGUAAUCUAUUCUGAAUACCGAUCGAAGGGUUAGCUAGGGUCAAGAUCUUCUUCUUGGAUCUCGAUAUAUGCUAGCAGCAGAUUUUGAUGUUAGUUUCUUCUCUCUUCUUCAUCUAUCUCUUGGGGAAUUGAAGCGUUGUGGUCCGAUUGUUUGCUGCAUCAAGCAAAUCUACACAAGUUUGAGUGCUUUCGUACGUCUGUUUGUACAAUGAUUUGCUUUUUUAAUUUUGUUGGUAUAUCGAUCUGAAUUGAAUUCGUGAGAGUCUCGGGACUCAUAUAUACCUAGUAAGUAUGUUUGGGCUUUGGUUUAGUUGAUUGAAUAAUAGGAUCCUAUCAUUUGUGUUUGUGUUCUUUGUGUUCCUUGUGUUCUUUGUGUUGUGUGCUUGUGCUGUAAAAAAAGAAAAAAAAGAAGAACAUUCAAUAUACAUAUCAUGUACGUUCAAUUCCUC